CAUUAGGUGGCUGAAAAUAAGCAUUGGUCUCUUAAACCACAAUAUAGUAAAUUCGCCCUACUUCUAAUGA
rnacentral:tRNA from 1 species